GUGCCAGCCGCCGCGGUAAUACGGAGGAUGCAAGCGUUAUCCGGAAUUAUUGGGCGUAAAGCGUCCGUAGGUGGCUUAUCAAGUCUGCUGUCAAAGCGCGGAGCUUAACUCCGUAAAGGCGGUGGAAACUGAUGAGCUAGAGUGUGGUAGGGGUAGCGGGAAUUCCCAGUGUAGCGGUGAAAUGCGUAGAUAUUGGGAAGAACACCAGCGGCGAAAGCGCGCUACUGGGCCAUAACUGACACUGAUGGACGAAAGCUAGGGGAGCGAAAGGGAUUAGAAACCCGGGUAGUCC
rnacentral:rRNA from 1 species